GAUUUUUAUUUUCUUUAAUUCCAUUUUAUUUCAAAAAAUCAUAUCUCUUUUAUUAUUGGUCCAAAAAAUAUGGGACCAAUUGCAUUCUUCUCCAAAUAAUUUCUAGUUUCUAAUUCUGAUUUUUAUUUUUUUAUUUCAUCAUUUGAUAUUUUUUGUGAAUUUUCUCUUUUCUGGUUGUUUUUAAAUCAUUUUAAAUAGUUUUUGAUAUUCAAAAAAUACACAAAUAUUUUCUUAACCUAUUUGGAUGAUGAUGGAUCUAUGAAAA
rnacentral:lncRNA from 1 species